rnacentral:lncRNA from 10 species
CUGGGCCAAGGCCCUGCUGGCCACAGAACAUAGGCGGUGAGGGCUGCAUAGGGAGGGGCUGUGGUUUCAGAGGCUGACGCAGCUGGCUGGCCUUCUGCUCCUUGUCUCCCGGAGGCUCCCUGCCCUCAGCAAUAGAAGAAUAAAAGUUGUUGAGAAGUCACUCUGGCAAUCCCCUGCCCACCAAGAACAGGCGCUAUCAAGAGUGGAUAUUGCAGAAACGCUUCCUCUCCCUACAAACCUUCCAGGGUAAGCAUGGAGGGAGAGGCUAAGCCUUCUCUUCAUUCCCUUGCCACUGUCUUCUUGACCCAAAGAUGAGGGGCUUCCAUCUCUAAAUCUCCCAGGCAAAAAUUCUAAUAGCUGAGAGACAGAAAGCAGCUCAAAUAUUAAACCACAGAUGGCCUGCCAUUUUUGUUUGAAGGGCUGGAAUUUUCAGUUAAUGCUGGGGGAAGUAAGAAAGUCAACUCAGUUGCUCUGUCCAGUAAUUCACCAUUGCUGGGCUUUACUGAACAAAGGCAAACUCUGACGACAUGAUCAUGAUUGAAAGAGGCAGCUGAGCAGGUGAGCUCCUCCUGUGGCUCCCUCUCAGCAUCUUGUGCUGCCAUUGUGUGUUUAGGUAUUCAUGUCUCUGACUAAGACAGUGAGCUCCUCGAGGAAGGUACUUGUGCCUCGAUCAUCCUAGAACCCUCCACGCCCAGUACGCACAGGGCCAGCACCUAGCAGACAUUCAGUGUGUAUGUAAGCCUCUGUCCUGGUCUGAACAGGGGAGUGCCCGUGUGAGCCUGUUUGCUGCCUUAAUUAUUAAUAGCAUUCCCGUAUGACCCAACCUAUCACUAAACCUCAGUGUUGCUCCCUACCUAAGCAGAGGAACUUCAUUGCAAGAAUAUUGAGUGGCUUAAUGACGAGGUAAUUUCUUGCCUCGUAUGAUGAAAAAAAGUCAACCAGGAACUGGCUGAGCACACCUGGUUUGCACAAGGUGGUCCUCGUCAGUGCUGGUUGUUUUGCUGUAAUUGUGAAUGGUGCUGCCUUUCGCACUUAACACAUGUCCUGAGUUGGCGAGUAAGUUAUCUGGUCAUCUUUGGCAUCAUCAUCAGGCAUAGCAAAUCCAGCGGUCAUCAGGGCAUCUUAGAGUUGGCUUAGCUCUUGGGGACCAAAGGGAUGUAAAAAUUGCC